rnacentral:lncRNA from 1 species
AGAAGAAGUGUUUUUUAAAUUGAAUUAUCUGCAAAAAUCUGUGAUAAGCACGUCAGAGGCAGGUGUGUAAUGGAGACAGGUCUUGCAAGGUGAAGACUUAAGACUUUUUGAUCAGCAGGGACUACAUUACCUGCAUAUUCUUGAAUGCCUCUGUUCCUAUGAAUUAAGCUGCAAAUCCAGGGGAAAUGGAGUUUCAUCAGCAACAGUGUAUUGUUAUAAGCUAUUCCUCCUACAAUACAAAAACAUAUUGGGGUUGAUUUUUCAAAAGACCUGUUCUACUAGAGACAAAAAUGCUCCAAUUUUGUGAUAAUUAACACAACUAUCUUUACUUUUGGAUUGCCCAUGCACACAGAGGAUUUCUCUGUGCAAUCCAUCGAUUUUUACCACUAUAAUAUAGAUAAAAGAAUUGAGCCACGUUAGAUCUAUCCCUGCCAUUUUAAACUGCAAAUGAGGGAAUUAGAUUAUUUCUGAGAGGUGGAGACCAAAUACACACAAAGUCUAUCCUACAUGUUGAAAACAUAAAUUCAAGUAGAAAUAUAUGACCUGUCCCAAUUUCCUUACAAUGAUUUGCUGAAUAACAAGGAUAAAAUAGUUGUUUUCCCCGUCUAGGGAUACAUAUAAACGCAUAACCUGAAUUACUACAAUCUUUAGACUUCAAUAGUUCCUCCAGAUGGAUCAAUAGUUCCAAAAAGCACCAGCCUAUUCUCUUUCUCAAUUUAAUAUCUUACAGUGUUUUUCUUGCUCCUGUAGCCAGUCACAUCCAAGGGUGCAUCUAUGCUAUAGAAUUAAUGCAGUUUGAUACGACUUUAACUGCCAUGCCUCAAUGAUAUGGAAUCAGCAGUUGAAAAUUAAGAAGCUGAGUAUCAAGCCUUAUCUCUCUUGCUGGAGAAACAAUGUUUGGGCUGAAAUGCAGGGGGAAGAUUACGAAAAUAUUGUCCAGUACCUCUGUGGUCAUUGUUACUGCCAAAAUCUGUAAGGAAGACUCCGAACUCUAAGGGAAGGAAACUGCCUCACUGACGCUGGCUGGGCUGCUGGCUGCUUUUGGAAAAAGAACAUUGAUUGAGAUGGAUCAUUUUGGUCAGUCCUGCAAGGCUGUUUGCAUGUUCUCAUGGAAAACACAGAAUUGAAUAAGACACGGGGUUUUGGCUGAAGAGGGGCUGUAUUUUGUUUUCGGAAAACUGAAACCAGAUCGAAAUCCAGAUUGCUGCUUGUGGUGUGAACACUCAUCUCAUUUUGCUGUCGGUGAACUGAUGUUGCUGGAUUGUGUAUACAAAAACUCAUGCGAUCAUUGGCAACAGCGGGACAAAAUGAAACCUAUGUGCAUUGCAUAUCCUUGGGAAGCAAUAUCUCUCUUCCAACAUUAGGAUCAUCUGCCAAGUUCUUUGUGGGCAAGACAUUAUGUUAAAAAGCCAAUUUAUUACCAUCUGAUUCCCUAACCUACAUUCGCCAGUCUCAUAAGAACAGAGGUGUGGGGUAGAGGCAAAAUGACAUUUCCCUUUGGAGUCCAUAUUUCUAAGAAUUGCACAGAGUGAGACACUGAAAUCAUUCAAACUUAGAACUUUCUUGUUCAGUGUGGCUGCUCUCACGGCAAUGCCAGCCCAUUUUCUUUGGAUGCCUGAACUAUAUUUCUAAACACUGAGAUUAAGUUUUAAAUUAAUAUUUGGAGACUGGAGGGAAAAUUCAUUUUAGGGAGAGGCAGAAUUCUUAUUUGUAUUAUAAAAUAUGAUCAUAACCUAUUAGGAAUAUAUUCAUAACCUGUUAGGAUUAUGAUACCAAUAUGGUUAGAUAUUGGCGCAGAGUAACAAAACACAGAAGUCUAGGGGUUUAUGUGAGCAGAGGUGAGCAAAAAGCAAAAUAGCCAGCCUCCCUUUCCCUUUAAAGAGUUAUGUGCAUAAAAUAAGCAUCAGAGACAUCAAAAAUAAAAUAGUAAAAAUAUGUUUACUCACAAUCUUGUAUGAUGAUGGUCAUACAGGUAAAAACAUCUUAGUUCCAAAAGAAUACAGUUCAGGAUACUACAUAUCUCU